rnacentral:rRNA from 1 species
GCCCUACGGGAGGCAGCAGUGAGGAAUAUUGGUCAAUGGGCGGGAGCCUGAACCAGCCAAACCGCGUGAGGGAAGAAGGUACAGCGUAUCGUAAACCUCUUUUGUCAGGGAACAAAGGCGGGGACUAGUACCCGGAUGAGGGUAACUGAAGAAAAAGCAUCGGCUAACUCCGUGCCAGCAGCCGCGGUAAUAAGGAGGAUGCGAGCGUUAUCCGGAUUUAUUGGGGUUAAAGGGUGCGCAGGCGGCCUGUUAAGGCAGCGGUAAAAGCACGGGGCUCAAACCCGGCGAGCCGUUGA